AUGUGAUUUGUGAUAUGUAUACUAAAAUUGGAACAGUAUAGAAAAAGUUAUCAUGGCCCUUGCCCCAGAAUGAUAUGCAUAUUUAUAGAGGAAGAAAAGAACAAU